AAGGAUUUAAGUUAAAAAAACUGUUAACCUUCAAAGUUAAAAAUAGAAUAAAUUCUAAGCCUUA
rnacentral:tRNA from 1 species